CCUACGGGUGGCAGCAGUAGGGAAUCUUCCACAAUGGGCGAAAGCCUGAUGGAGCAACGCCGCGUGGGUGAAGAAGGUCUUCGGAUCGUAAAACCCUGUUGUUAAGGAAGAAAGUGCGUGAGAGUAACUGUUCACGUUUCGACGGUAUCUAACCAGAAAGGCACGGCUAGAUACGUGACAGCAGCCGCGGUAAUACGUGGGUGGCAAGCGUUAUCCGGAUUUAUUGGGCGUAAAGGGAACGCAGGCGGUCUUUUAAGUCUGAUGUGAAGGCCUUCGGCUUAACCGGAGUAGUGCAUUGGAAACUGGGAGACUUGAGUGCAGAAGAGGAGAGUGGAAAUCCAGGUGUAGCGGUGAAAUGCGUAGAUAUAGGGCAGAACACCAGUGGCGAAAGCGGCUCUCGGGUCUGUAACUGACGCUGAGGUUCGAAAGCGUGGGUAGCAAACAGGAUUAGAUACCCUUGUAGUC
rnacentral:rRNA from 1 species